rnacentral:rRNA from 1 species
GACGAACGCUGGCGGCGUGCUUAACACAUGCAAGUCGAACGGAAAGGCCCUGCUUUUGUGGGGUGCUCGAGUGGCGAACGGGUGAGUAACACGUGAGUAACCUGCCCUUGACUUUGGGAUAACUUCAGGAAACUGGGGCUAAUACCGGAUAGGAGCUCCUGCUGCAUGGUGGGGGUUGGAAAGUUUCGGCGGGUGGGGAUGGACUCGCGGCUUAUCAGCUUGUUGGUGGGGUAGUGGCUUACCAAGGCUUUGACGGGUAGCCGGCCUGAGAGGGUGACCGGCCACAUUGGGACUGAGAUACCGCCCCGACUCCUACGGGAGGCAGCAGUGGGGAAUAAUGCACAAUGGGCGGAAGCCUGAUGCAGCAACGCCGGGUGCGGGAUGACGGCCUUCGGGUUGUAAACCGCUUUCGCCUGUGACGAAGCGUGAGUGACGGUAAUGGGUAAAGAAGCACCGGCUAACUACGUG